rnacentral:rRNA from 1 species
UGGGGGAUAUUGCACAAUGGGCGAAAGCCUGAUGCAGCGACGCCGCGUGGGGGAUGAAGGCCUUCGGGUUGUAAACUUCUUUUGCUCUGAACAAGGCAUGCUAAUGGGUGUGUUGAGUGUAGGGGUUGAUUAGCGCCGGCUAACUACGUGCCAGCAGCCGCGGUAAUACGUAGGGCGCGAGCGUUGUCCGGAAUUAUUGGGCGUAAAGGGCUCGUAGGUGGCUGGUUGCGUCUGUCGUGAAAGCUCAUGGCUUAACUGUGGGUUUGCGGUGGGUACGGGCUGGCUUGAGUGCAGUAGGGGAGGCUGGAAUUCCUGGUGUAGCGGUGGAAUGCGCAGAUAUCAGGAGGAAUACCGGUGGCGAAGGCGGGUCUCUGGGCUGUUACUGACACUGAGGAGCGAAAGCAUGGGGGGCGAACAGG